GACGAGGGCGCGAGCGUUGUCCGGAUUUAUUGGGCGUAAAGAGCUCGUAGGCGGCUUGUUGCGUCGACUGUGAAAACCCGCGGCUUAACUGCGGGCUUGCAGUUGAUACGGGCAGGCUAGAGUUCGGUAGGGGAGACUGGAAUUCCUGGUGUAGCGGUGAAAUGCGCAGAUAUCAGGAGGAACACCGGUGGCGAAGGCGGGUCUCUGGGCCGAUACUGACGCUGAGGAGCGAAAGCGUGGGGAGCGAACAGG
rnacentral:rRNA from 1 species